UACGAAGGGGGCUAGCGUUGCUCGGAAUCACUGGGCGUAAAGCGCACGUAGGCGGAUCGAUCAGUCAGGGGUGAAAUCCCAGAGCUCAACUCUGGAACUGCCUUUGAUACUGUCGAUCUGGAGUAUGGAAGAGGUGAGUGGAAUUCCGAGUGUAGAGGUGAAAUUCGUAGAUAUUCGGAGGAACACCAGUGGCGAAGGCAGCUCGCUGGGACGGUACUGACGCUGAUGCGCGAAAGCUAGGGGAGCGAACGGG
rnacentral:rRNA from 1 species